AUUGAACGCUGGCGGCAGGCUUAACACAUGCAAGUCGAGCGGAGUGAUGGUGCUUGCACUAUCACUUAGCGGCGGACGGGUGAGUAAUGCUUAGGAAUCUGCCUAUUAGUGGGGGACAACAUCUCGAAAGGGAUGCUAAUACCGCAUACGUCCUACGAGAGAAGGCAGGGGAUCACUUGUGACCUUGCGCUAAUAGAUGAGCCUAAGUCGGAUUAGCUAGUUGGUGGGGUAAAGGCCUACCAAGGCGACGAUCUGUAGCGGGUCUGAGAGGAUGAUCCGCCACACUGGGACUGAGACACGGCCCAGACUCCUACGGGAGGCAGCAGUGGGGAAUAUUGGACAAUGGGGGGAACCCUGAUCCAGCCAUGCCGCGUGUGUGAAGAAGGCCUUAUGGUUGUAAAGCACUUUAAGCGAGGAGGAGGCUCUUUUGGUUAAUACCCAAGAUGAGUGGACGUUACUCGCAGAAUAAGCACCGGCUAACUCUGUGCCAGCAGCCGCGGUAA
rnacentral:rRNA from 1 species